CCCUUAGAUGUUCUGGGCCGCACGCGCGCUACACUGAUGCAUUCAACGAGUCUAAAACCUGCUCUGAUAGGGGUGGGUAAUCUUUUGAAUGUGCAUCGUGAUUGGGAUAGAUGAUUGCAAUUUUUCAUCUUAAACGAGGAAUGCCUAGUAAACGCAAGUCAUCAGCUUGCAUUGAUUACGUCCCUGCCCUUUGUACACACCGCCCGUCGCUCCUACCGAUUGAAUGAUCCGAUGAAUAUCAUGGAUUGAGGAUGCAAGUAGGUUAGCCUAUCUUCAUCUUCGAGAAGUGAAGUAAAUCUUAUCAUUUAGAGGAAGGAGAAGUCGUAACA
rnacentral:rRNA from 1 species